AAUCAACGCUGGGGGCGGUGCCUCAGACAUGCAAGUCGAACGCUGCGUGUUCGCCUUCGGGUGGACAGCGGAGUGGCGCACGGGUGAGUAACACGUAGGUAAUCUACCUUUGGGUGGGGAAGUAACAGCCGGAAACGGCUGCUAAUACCGCAUAAUGCAGCGGCAUCACAUGAUGACAGUUGUUAAAGCGGGGGAUCGUAAGACCUCGCGCCUGAAGAGGAGCCUGCGGCAGAUUAGGUAGUUGGUGAGGUAAU
rnacentral:rRNA from 1 species